AACGAACGCUGGCGGCAGGCUUAACACAUGCAAGUCGAACGGGUGUAGCAAUACAUCAGUGGCAGACGGGUGGGUAACACGUGGGAACCUUCCUAGGGGUACGGAACAACUCAGGGAAACUUGAGCUAAUACCGUAUACGUCCGUGAGGAGAAAGAUUUAUCGCCCUUAGACGGGCCCGCGUCGGAUUAGCUAGUUGGUGGGGUAACGGCCUACCAAGGCGACGGUCCGUAGCUGAUCUUAGAGGAUGAUCAGCCACACUGGGACUGAGACACGACCCAGACUCCUACGGGAGGCAGCAGUGGGGAAUCUUGGACAAGGGGCGCAAGCCUGAUCCAGCCAUGCCGCGUGAGUGAAGAAGGUCUUCGGAUUGUAAAGCUCUUUUGCCAGGGACGAUGAUGACGGUACCUGGAGAAUAAGCCCCGGCAAACUUCGUGCCAGCCGCCGCCGUAAAAC
rnacentral:rRNA from 1 species